CACCCCCAACCACCACCCCAAAUGCUCUGCAGCCCGGCACAGAACCAAGCCCAGUCCUUUGGGAUGAAGGCUGUGAGCAGCAGUGAUGCCCCAGGCUACCAGGGCUGCCCUGGCCCCAUCCCCUGGCCUAUAUGGUAAGGGCACAUUAAGCAGGGUGCUCCCUUCCAGCCCAGCUCCCACAGUAGAUUUAGGGGAUCUGGGGGGCUCCAACCUCAUCCAAGCAGAGCACUGCCUGACCCCACUUGGGGGCUUCUGGCAGAGCUCAAGCAAGAUAAGGCUGUGAGUGUGCUCUGCGCAGAUAGCUGGCGUUGGGUGCCUUGUGCUGAAAUGUGACACUGGAAGCUGUUCUUGCUCAACCUGUUUGGCUUGUUGUGGGGUCCUAACGGAGGAAGCAGCUCCCUUCAGCACUCCUCCAGCAUUUCCGAGCUCUGCUGUUAAAUGAUACGUGCACACCGUGAGUUUUGAUGCCACCUGGGACCAGAAGUGGAGCUGCGGUGGAGAAGCAGAAAGGAGGAAGGCAAGAGGAUGGCGUGGGUGACCCAAGCAUCAUCCUGCACCAGGACCCCAGGGAUGCUCAGAGCCAUGGGAUCUCAUCUCUGCAGAAGGAAAAGUGUGGCUGCAGACAGCAAUGAGCGAAAGCUAAUCUGACACCAAAUUAUGAUGACAGUCGGAGCCGAAUCAACCUUGUUUGAGAUCCUGCAGAAAUUACCUGGUCAUGGCUGCAUGCUCGCCGUUAACAGAGGAACAUUUGGAAAGAUAAAGGUUGUAAAGUUGCCUCCUUUGGGGCUGCAAAUAUGUCAAACCUUCCCCCCCAAAAAAAAGCUUAUAUAAAGGAGGAGGAUCUUACAAAGGCAUCUUUUUAGAGAUGUGUAAAAGAGAAGGAUGUAACCCUUGCUGCCUUGUGGCAGGGCAUCCUCAGCCCAGAAUUCUUCUGGAAAAUAGUUUUAAAGUUGCUCAAAGGAAGGUAGAAGAGCUGAAAAGUCAAACUCAGGUCUCUGGUUAAUACUAUGAGAUUACAGGGUGGCAUCCUCGAAAUUGAAAAUGCUGAAAUGGCAUUUAAUGGGAAACUGGGGAGAAAAUGACCUGUUUUUUGUCACUGCUGGUGUUAAAAGCAGGAGUUUUGCAAAUGCUUAUGAACACUAUGGAAAAAUGUAAUCGUAUGUGUUAUGUUCAGGGCACUCAUGAGCAAAACCCUGAGAUAGCGUAGGUUGACGAGACAGCAAACAUGGGAUCAAAGACAACGGCGUGUUGUGAAAUGGCUCUUUUCUGCUAAGAGGUGAUUACUGUGAGAGGGCAGGAGCUGAAGGAGGAACCACAUCUUUCACGACAGCAGAUGAAAAGGAAACAGCAUGUCUGGGUUGUUCUGAAGAGGAGCACACGAAGGGAGAUGCGAGGGCAUGGAGCAAGGUGUGCAGCGUGCAGACAAAAGCCCUCCAAGGUCUGCAGACAAAAGGUCAGGAGUGAGCAGGAGCAGUGCCACAUGCUGUACAGCAGGCAUAUCUCAUUGUCUCUUUGGCUGUGGGAAUUUCCACUCUAUUUUUUUUUUUUUUUUUGGCUAAAAUGUGACUGAGCUGAAGCAAGCCAUCAUAGAAUCAAGGCACUGGAUUGGAAGGGACCUUAAACCUGACCCAGUUCCAACCCCUUGCCAUGGGCUGGGUGCCCCCCACUAGAUCAGGCUGCCCAGGCUCCAAUCCAUGGCCUUGGGCACCUCCAGGGAUGGGGCACUCACAGCUGGCCUUCCAGCUGCCAGCACACACUGCUGGCUCGUGACAAACUCUUCAUCCAACAGAGCAUCCAACCACGUCCUUCUCUGCAGCGCUUCUCUCGGUGAGUUCUCCCACUCUGUACACAUACCUGGGAUUGCUUUGACCUGAGCACAGCACCCCGCACUUGGUUUUGUUGAUCUUCAUUUGGUUCAUGAGCCCACCCAGGUCCCUCUGGAUGGCAUCCUUUCCUUCUGCUGUGUCAACUGCACCGCUCAGCUUGGUGCCAUCAGCAAACUGCUGAUCUCAAUCCCACUGUCUGUGUCAUUGAUAACGAUAUUAAAGAGCACCAGUCCCAAGAUGGACCCCUGGGGGGUACCACUCAUCGCCAGCCUCCACCUGGACACACAGCCAUCGACCACAGAAGUCCUGCAAGUGAGACAGAUGCUGGCUCUGGCAAAUUCAUUCACAUGCUCUUCACGCUAAUACUUACUUACCUUCAGGAGCCGGCAGGAGACGGUUCUGGCGAGGGCUGAGGGGAAACACUGCCCAAUUAGCAAAGAUGGAUGGAGCAUGGAGCAGCCCAUCCAUCUGCUCCUUGGGCUGCUGCCCUGGUGACACAAAGGACCUGCCAGCAAGGCAGCACUCAGGUGACUCUAAUUCCACUGACACGCUGCCACAGCACCAGCAGGUGAAGCAGAGCCCUGUCCUGCAGCAAGCUAAGCUUCCUGCCACCCUAUCUUGGCACCAGAGAGGAGCAGGUGGCUUGGGGAAAGCUAACAUGACACCAGCUUUUAUGGGAGGCCCCAGGAAGACAUGGGGGAGUAGGUAUGAAGCAGAGGUUGUGAUAAUGGCAGAGUGAAAGACACUUGGCUAAGUGCUGUCUGCUAGGAAAGAUACCGCAGGGCUUCUGGAAGGAGAGUCCUGCUUCACAAGUCCUUGGGGUAGGUCACAGAGGGCAAGCACAUGUCAUGGAAUCACAGAAUGGUUUGAGUUGGAAGGGACCCUUAAAGGCCAUCAGGUCCAACCCCCUGCAGUGAACAAGGACGUUCAUAGCUCCAUCAGUGCUCAGAGCCCCUCCAGCCUGACCUUGGGUGUCUGCAGGGAUGGGGAUCCACCACCUCUCUGGGAAUGUGGGUUACUGUACACUUUACCUGCUGGGAUUUUCAAAGGCUUUCCAUUCAGUGUCUUGUCAAAAAGUUUAUUUGAAGAAAAUAAGCAACGAAGAAGUACAAUGGAUGUUCUGUGUCUUUUUGACUAAGAGAUGGUGGCAGAGGGUAGGAAUAAGCUGUGGGUGCUGUAAGUGGAGCAGGUCACCAGUAGGUCUUACGGGGUCUGAGCUGGGACCCAUCUUUCCCAACAGACUCAGAAGUGAGAGGGAUAGGGUCAAGUAGGGAGGUGGCAGAGGAUGAGCAGUGCACAUGGGGAAAACAAUCACACCUCACAAGAACCAAGACCAUCAGACAAAGCUUGGAUUAAGUUCAUGAAGAAAAGAUAAGUGCUCAGGAGGAGGUGAUUCUCCACAUGGGCAGGGGAGCUCCUUGGCAGAGGAUGCUGUGGAUGCAAGAAGCUCGCAGAGAUUCACAUGGAGACUGUACACGUUCUUGAAGCAGGGAUCCAGGAAGACACUGGGAAAUCCAUGGGAACAAAGAAGGAGUUGGGACAUCUUCAAUAUGGGUUGCUCUGGACUCAUGCAGUCCACAGACUGACUCCUAUCUGUGAUUAAAACCCUUCCUGGGCACUCAGGAGAUGCUGUGGGUUUGCCCCACAGACACUCCCUGGCACCAGCAUGGCAUUAGCAUGGACAGGACCUCCAGCGUGGCCAUGCCAACUGGCUGCUGGCCCUGUGUGCUCCAAGCUGAGCUCAUGAGACAUAGACUGCUGUAUCCCAUUACUCAUCCGCAGGCUGUGAUCAGAUAGGUCUUUAAUUUGAUUUUAAUUAAAACAACUCUUUACUUCUUCUAUUCUUGAGAUGGUUUGCAUUCUGUCUGGAGGGCUGUGGUUGCCAAGAGGAAGAGCUGCUGCUGCAGCCUCGGGCUGGGGCUGCAAGAGAUGAGCAAUGGUGGGGUGCUGGAGCAACGGAGCAGGAGGCAGAGCAAACAGAGUCCUCCAGACACAGGACAUGGACAUACAGGGGUGUUGGGCCGGCUCUGCAUGGAACACAUUGCUCAGCAGAAAGGAACUAAAUUAGCCCUGAUUUACCUGGGAGGGCUGAUAGUUCUUUUCAACUGGUUUUUAAUUUGGAGUCAAUUUCCAGGACUAGCUGUUCAGAUGUCACUGAGAUAAGUGAUCUGUGUUUCUCCUCAGUCAAACAGGAUUUUCCUUCUUUUCAGACAAGCAAAACUGUGCUCUCUAAGUAGAUGUUCCAGCUAACGAGGUGUUAAGCAUGUAAAGCCCCACUUUGUGGGGCUGCCUCGAGGGCAGAUCCAUCUGCUAGUAAACCAACUAUCAGCACCAACUUUGUCCGCAGCUUCCAGGAACGACUUCAGAUAAAUAAGCUGUCCCAGGGCCAGGACCACGGAGAAACCUGGAAAAUACAGCUACAAAAAUAAGGCUCUAUGUGAUGCUACAGAUGUGCUACAUGGCUGCAUGUGUUCCCUUUCUUCAUGCCAAAGCAGGAGUGUGAUGGCAAGGGGCAUGUUUGGAGCAGACACUGUGGAGGCUCAGCAAAACAAGGGGUGUUCAUUGAAAGGGACUUCUCCAGUCUUGUAGCGUGGACAAAACAAUGACACGGUCUCCUCUGGCACAUCAGCUGGACAUCAAGGUUAGGAAGAAAGUCUAAAAAGAGGUUAAAGAAGACCAAGCAGUGUCAACUUCCUGCAAAUGCAAUAUCUGGACACAAGGAUGUCAGCAUGAGAUCCAAACAUGGUGGAUGGAAGAUCUGAGAUAGAGGAGGAACACAACAUAUCCCUUCAAAACAACCACCUUUGGCAGAUGUCCUGCUGGCUGGACAUUGCCGGGAGCUCCAUAGUCCCUAGAGCAUGUGGUAGGACAGUGGUAGGAUACCAUCGGCUCCAGGACCCUCCCAUAAGGGCUGCAGCAAUGUAUGGAAUCACAGAAGCACAGAACCAGUAAGGCUGGAUAAAACCUCCAAGAUCAUCACAUCCAACCAUAAACCCAUUCCCUCCAUGCCCGCUCAUACAAUCAUUAAGGUUGGAAAAGACCUCCAAGAUCACUAAGUCCAACCCCAACCCAUUCCACCAUGCCCACUAAGCAUGCCCCUCAGAGCCACAUCUUUAUGUUUCUUGGGUGCCUCCAGGGAGCCUGGUGCUUCAAACACAAUGACAAGAGCAGGUUUGCUUCACUGGAAAAUACCUGCCCACUCCCAGGAUCCCACAUCCCAAGAUGCCCAGAAUGGGGCCAUCCACUGGGAGGUGAGCUGCGUUAUCUGACAAAGGGGGAUUAUGCUGUGAAAACUGCUCGUUGGGGAUUGUAUAUUAACAGGAUAUGCUCGGCUAGUUGACAGGAAGCAAUAAAGUAAUUUGAAGGAGACUGGGAAA